rnacentral:lncRNA from 1 species
CUUACUUAACACUACCUUUGGCAGAUUCCAACUUCGUACAAUAUUCUUAUUUGCUGGUCAUGUAUUGAGUGCAACCACUAUCCAGAAACCAUGUGUUUUCAUCAUUCAAUCUUGUUGCUUCCAUUUCCGUAAACACAAACUCCUCCUAUUCUUCAACUUCUGAAACGUUGGCUUUUUGAGUUUGUUUGGUUGUUCUCCU